rnacentral:rRNA from 1 species
UUGUGCACACAUUGCCCGUCACGUUCCGAGAGUGGGGUGCAUCCGAAGACGCGGAACGAUGCCGCUCUGCUCGCCACCGUCCACGGUGACCCCCGCGAUUGGAAUGAAGUCGUAACAGGUUUGUGUAGGGGAACCUGCACAAGAGUUGUUCUAUUAA